rnacentral:lncRNA from 1 species
UUUUCAUUUUCAAUCAUCAAGAAUGUUAGCUCACAAAAUGUUAACUAAUGGAUUUGUUAUUGGUUGAAGCACUUAGAUUCCUAAUUUUUACAGUGCGAGGAUCUUCGAUCCCAGCUGAGACGGUACCAGGCAUCCAUUCAAGAGUCAACACUGCACGAAUGCCCUCAGUGUGUCUCACGGCGAACCAAGACCAAGUCGGAGAUCGGAGUCCAGACAAUGGCCACUUUGCAACUAGAUGGUGAAAUGAGCUCCAUUGUUCAGAACAAUGCCGAGGCUGUAAUGAAGGAUCGUGUAAAAAAACUGGAAAGAGAACAUGAAACUAUGAAACGGUUGUGUCGUAUGCGAGCUAGCAAAAUUUCAACUCUAGAACAAUACAUCAAGCAGCAUAACUUGCCUGUUCCGGACAGCAAAGAGAAUCCUGAAUCAGCAUCUGCGCGAGCAGCAAAAACACUAGAGAAAGAAUCAAGCUUCUCUUCAAGGCGUGUCUUGACGGAAAUUCCAGGAGCAAACUUAAAAUUUUAAGACAUCGUUAAAAGUUCCGGCAGAACUUGGAGACAGAAGAAAUAUUUUUUCAUCAUCACUCCAAUUAAUCAAUUAGUUAUGCAUUGAAAGCGUUCGCUUUUAACUUUGUCACAUCCACCUGAUCAUCAUAGGCUUUUUCUUGAACAUUCAUCAAUGAAUGUCUAGGAUCUAUGUGUAAAAUUAUCUUGUUUCCUUAUGUAUAGUUCAUUAUCAGCAGUUUUCACUAACUUGCUACUUACUAUUCCUUCUUUCUUUCUUUAAAGUGUCUUAUGUUUCUUCUUAAUGCUCAAUUCCUCUGUCCACCUACUAUUUUGAUGCAUUAGUCUUUCACCCAGUGAUCUUAGUAAUGUACCUUAUCUCAAAAAUAAUUUUAAUAUUCCCUAGGUUUAUUUUCAUUUGCAUCCUCCUAUCUAGGAAAUCAUUUUUAAUGUAAUGUCUUGUGAAAUGCUUGCUGUAAAUAAUUGUUUAUUUUUAUACUUUUUAUACUAAUAUUUAUGUUUAAUAUUUAAAGUACUAUUUUUUAUUGUGAUUAGGAUCCCAUCAACGCUCUAUACAAUUAUAGUUAGUCAGAUUUGUGAAGUUCCAAAACUUCUGAAACAUGAUUGUAUUAAAGUUUAAGCAUUGUCUUCUCAUAUUUAAUAAAUUUGUGUUCAAGUUGAGAAGACUCAUUAAUUACAAGCUGUGUUUUCAGAUUGUCAGAAUUAUUAUACUUUUGAAGAUACAUUUUUAUCUGCAAGUAAAUACUUAAUUGCUGAGCUUGUACUCAAUUUAUCAACUGAAGACUUGCAUAAAAGUCUACAGUUAAAAUGAAAAUUUUGACUGAGGAGCUUGCCUUUUGAAAAAGGGUUUUACGAAGAAAUCAAAUAAUUUUUCAAAGAACAGCUUGUUGUUCACUCCAUUGAAAUAAUCGGAUUUUUGUCUUGUGUGUCAUAUUUUGAAACAUGAUCCAUUUUUAUCGUGGUAGCAAGACUCCUCUAACUGAAAUUUCUAUGAAAAUAUUGUAUGCACCAUGUACAAAAUAAGUAAUUAAAAAGCUUACACUUUUAAUUUUCAAUUUUCAUUUCAUAAAUUUCGAAAAGUUGAAUGAUUCACAACAGCAUAAAUUAGAAAAUGUACAUUGCUUAUGCUCCGCAAUUUCUUAAUUGUGUAAGUGUAAGUUUUGAUAGCUGGUUAAAAAUAAGAAGGAAAAAAAAUACCUGCAGAAGGUAUGGACUUGGUAAAUGAUGUGGUUCCUAUUCUUAUUUUAUCAUAGUUUGUUCUUUUUUGCAAAUUGAAGUCUCUCUCUCUGAGAGUUUUUACCCUCAUGUUCUAAUACAGAGUGGUUAAAUAAAAUUUAUGCGUUUAAUAUUCUUGGUCUUGCGUAUUUAUACACAACUACAUAAAUGAUGAAUACAUGAAAAUUAUUUCUAUGGGAAUAAACUUAAGUACAAAAGUUGAAGCUCAUCAAAGAGCUAAUUAAUAUUUAUAAAAUGGUAUAUUUUCUUAAAUUUGGAAAAUUUUCAUUAGCUGCCAUUUUCAAGUAGUGAUGUGCAGUUUGGACUAAAAGCUUGCAUUUUGUAUGUUCUGUUUUUUUAAUGAUGUAUCACAAGUGGGGAGGGGGGGGGGGGGUUUCAUUUAUGAAAAAAAGUUAGUGUUUGUGCCCUCACUCCCUAAAUUUUGAGGGGCCUCAUGAGUAGUCUCUUUUAAUCUAUAAUCGCAAGAUUUCAAGUCUGUAUCUCAAUUUGUUCUAAAGUUGCAAGGGGGGUGCAGGCUUUUGAGUCACUCUGUAACACAUUACUGAACAAAGAAUGCAAGAAAGAAUCCAUUUGAAUUUGGUUCUGAAUAAAAAACUAGGUUGUCCAGAUCAUAACUUCUUACUCUAGAUUAUUGGUUGUCAACAAAGGUUUAAAAAGAGUUUGAAAUAUUUUCCGAAUUUUUGAAUGAGCAAAAAAUGCUAAAUUGAGAUUUUAUAAAAUGACUCAUAUGUAUCUUUGUAUCCGAGGGUUGCUUCACUAAUUAAGGACAUAUACUCAGUAUACUUAUGCUUUAAGCUUCUGGUUGCAAAUGUUUUGAAUAUGUACUCUAUUUAAAGAAAGAAAAAAAAGUCUUGUGCGAGAGAAAUUUAGUACUUCACGAAAUUGGCAAUAUGAUAUUUGUUUAGAAGUUUGAAAACCCUGAUUUUCUAAUCAGUUUAGAUGACCUAAGGGUAGAAUUUCAAAUCUCAAUAACUAUAAUGUGGUCAUUGUCUAAUUUUUCUCCCUUUAAUAUAACGGAGAAUAAUCUUUAUGAAUAUUUUUUGUAACCAUUUAAGAUUAUUUGCAGGAAAUUUUAAUAAAGACAUGUGAAAGAUUUUUUUGAAACUUAGAAAUUAACUGGGCUACGUUUAGCGAAAAGGAACCACAUGACAUUCUCAGGAAAAUUGAGUUAUGGAUAUCUCUGAGUUUCUCCAGAGCCGUUUUUUCCUACCUGACGAAAAUCAGCUAUGGUCUGCAAAAAAUAUUCAGAGUGCAAUAAUUGGACUAAAAUUUGGUUUUUCACAUUGAGCCCUUGGAAAUAAUGAAAAUUAAAAUGUUCUUUUCUUAUUUUCAAUUAAAGCAAUGCCAUUUGGCUCCUUUUCACCAGUCGCUGUUCCAAUGAUGAGGACAACUACUCAUUUGAGAAGAACAAAAUGUGUCAGGGGGUAUAUCUAAUUGAAUGAGGCAUUGGUAUAGCUCUCUCUUUGAUACCUUUAAAUUUCUACAACUUGUGAAAAAUAAAUAAAAAAAAUUAUUAGAAAGGAGAAAAGAGGUGUUGAAAUAAAUCGUGAUAGGCCAUGACACUGAUUUUCAAUUUUACUCUAAGAUUGGCGUUUUUGCACACGAAUAUACUAAAUAGUUUAAACACAACUUUUAGUUACAAUGCGCACCUAACAGGGGGUGUUAAUUAAUCGAAUUUCCUCAUAAUUUUGGGUCUUGUUUAUCUAUAUUGCCGCACUAAGGAAAAACGCCUUACGAAAAUUCGAGAGCUGCCAAAUUUCCUCCAAUGGACCGUAUUCGAUAGUGGUUCGAUGUAUCGUUUGGUUCAAAACAAUAGAACAUAACCUCAAACAAAACCAUCAGGAUUUAAGUUGGAAAAGCUGAAAAUGAGAAAUUCCUAUUAAUUUCACUUUGAAUUGGCUUUGAUACAAAAAGAAUAAAAAAUCUAUUUCAAAAGACCCGUUCCCUCAGAUUUCUGAAUUGACUUUUGAGGCUAUGUUUAUGUUUUGAACCAAUCGAUAUCGAUACAAUCUCACCCGUUUGAUGUAUCAAAUACGAUCUAUAAAUUUUUUCUGUUUGAGGAGAGUUAUAGAUAUUUUCUCCUAAAAUUUUCAGUCAUAUAGAUCUAAUUACGAAGAAAAUUCUCCAAAAAAUUGAACGGAAAAUGUCCAUAAGUUUUCCUGAAAAUUCGUAUUUGAUCAAGGCAAUUUGGCAAUCGACGGAGGUCCAUACGGCGUUUUUCCUUAGCACGGCAGUACAGCAAGCCCGCGGUAAUGACGUGAAACAGAAAGUGCAAUUAACCCGUUUCACGAUUAUCAGUCUAUAAAGAAGGUGGGGAGGGCUGGGACUAAGGAAAAACGCCGUAUGAACUUCAGGCGUUGCCAAAUUUCCUUUGAUAACACACGAAUUUCCUGGUAGACUCAUGAAUAUUUCUUCCAAUUUUUCAGAUAAUUUUGUGCAAUUUCGCCUAAAGUCUCCGAAAAUUUCAAGGAAAAAUAUCCUAACUUUUCUCAGAAAUAAACAUUUUAACAAAGGAAAUCUGGCAACUCUUGAAUGUUCAUACGGCGUUCUUCCUUAGUAGCACGGCAGUGUAGCGGUGUCGCGUCGCGUCGGUGAGAAAAAAUAAAAAAUCGGAAGAUAUGAAAGAAAAGCCAUUAUCCGCAUCCGAAAGGCCGCGCUCGUACUGAUAGCCGCUAUCAGUUGUUACGAAUUCGCGCUAAUACAACCGGUUCCGAUUUGGUGUUAUUCGAUGAAAAUGAAACCGACCCUUUUGACGUAACCGCGGCGCGAUCCUCAUUUCGGCACCGUGUAUCGUCCGUAACUUCGAUCCCUUCAGCAUCCUCUUGGAUCCCUUUCGGCCGGAGCAAUGGUUAAAUAUCAUCAAGUUGUGCUGCUUUUCAGCCACAUCGGCAAGAACUGUUGUCUACCGCACGGCCCGUCCGCCAAGGUACGUAAUCGCAGUGCAUUUACUAUUGUUCUCGGAAUUCUCUCCAUAAAAUAAACAUUUUUGGCUUAGUCUUAUUUUAGUUUAAAAAUUAAAAUGUAAGUUAAUGUACUAUAAAGAAAAUAUUUGAGCACAAAAGAGACUAGGUAGGUAUCAUUUAAAAUUUAAAACGUAGCGUAAUCUGAAAUAAGAACUAAUAUUACCAGCUCAUUAGUGCCAGCAUGGUUAGGUAUUCAAAUCUGUUUGACUCUAAAUUAUAUUGUGUAAUUUUUUAUUUUAUUACAUUGUUACAUUAUCAUCGUUUAUUAUUAUUUUUAUUAUAUUGAGUUUCCUCUUGUUCAGAGAUUUGCCAUGGAACAGUUUAAAAUUUAGAAAUAACGAUAUACCCAACAAUUUGCCUCAUUAGGGGGAGGCAAUUUGCACAGAGCAUGGAGGAUGACACCCCCCCCCCCCCUCCAAGGCCCGCUCCAUGAAAAACUGUGAUUCAUGCUUUUGUAGGAUCAGUAGCUGUGAAAUUUUUUUUGCCUCUCUCUUGAGGCAGAGAUUUAAUGGCAAAGUUCUCAACAAGGUUUCCAACAUUUUUUCCAAAAUGCCUUAUUCCUUAAUAAAAUCGUGCAGAAUGCUCAAUAUUAGUAUAUAUAAGUAUGCUGCAACUUAAAUGGUUAGACAAUUUUACAAUGCAUGGGUAUCUUGUAGCGUUUUGGCAUAUUACUAUCUCAGUUGAUAGUUUUGCAGUCACAGAGUAAAUCUCCUUGCAGCUAAUAAUGUAUUUAAUUUUGAUGUACAGUCUUUGUUUCCUUUUAUUGUCUAAUAAAAGCUUUAACAUAUCUUUUACAG